rnacentral:lncRNA from 10 species
AAACAGCGUUUAGUUGCUUGUUAACUGUCACCCAUUUCUCAUUACCUGUUGCAGGGCAUCAAGACAAUUUAAUAAUACUCUUAAGUUAUCUAGCCAUUUCCACUGUCUUUGCAGGCCUUAUCCCUCCCAGAUUUUCAAAAGUCUGAGCCAGGAUACCUGCAAGGCCAUUCUCCCAGUUUUCCCAGGUUAUCUCCACAGACAUCUUUAGCAGUUGGACUACCACCCUGUGCCAGUGUCCAUUUUACCAAGCAGGCAGCGAAGCCAUCCCAGAACCCCAUCUCGCCAUUGCCUGUAUUCUUGGACCACCACCAGGACCAUUCAUGUUAGUUUGGGUUCUCUGAAAGGCAGAUGCCAAGAUGAGAUUAGAUGUAUGAGAGAUUUACCAGGGGAAACUCCCAUAGGGAAAAUGGGGAGGGAGUCAGAGAGAGCCUAGAUAGAUGCACAUCUAACCCCUGUGGAGGACAGAGAGAAGGAAGGGUGGGUAGGAAAAGUCUUAGACUACGGGGUGCAGUUCUCAAAUUUGUUUUUAUUUCGUUUCAUUGUAAAUUGACAAAUUAUAAUUGUACGUAUGGGGUACAAAAUGAUGUUACGAUUUAUGAAUCAUAACACCAUUUGUGGAAUGAAUACAUCAAGCCAAUAUUCAAGUGAUGCAGUUCUAAGGAGGUUUCAGCAAAACAAAUGUGUUUCUCAGGAGGGACGGUUCACCACGGGCCCUGAGUGCCCCUGCACGUUCUUGGCGAGUAUCUUAAACUAAUGCGGAACCAUUGCUGCAGAUAGUCACUGUAAGGAAUUUAAAAUUGUAUUAGUCUUGUUCAGACUGCUAUGUAACAGAUAUUGACUGUUACAUCUCCCUGGACUUGGGCAACUUGAUCACAUCUUCUCUUUGGCUCAGCCAUAUCUAUUCCUCCACUGCAGGCUUCAGAAGCAAUGGUAGGCCUGUGACCAACAAAUGACCCCAUGUGGGCUAUGAGCCUACAUGGAGAACAAACACCCACUAGUCCUGAGAAACUUCAGAUAAGAAAGGGAGUAUGCUGUGGAACUUCUCAAACCUCGAGAAUCUGGCCAGUUCUCUAGGUUUCAGAACAUCCUGAGACACACAAAGUAAAACCUUAAGCAUUAUUGAUUAAACUUUCAGAGCUGCACAUUUGCACGUUAGCUGUUAAUUUUAGCUAGGGUGAGCAACACCCUUGUUGACUAUUGCUCCUAGGGACACCAUGUUCCAUUAACCAUCCCCAGAACUCCCUGAAGGUAAAGCCCCCGUGGCUGUCCUUCAGACCUUGUGGUUCGCUCUGGUAAUAUAAGCUGGGACCCUCCAAUUGCUCUCUGAAGUCUCACCCAUGGAGUGGACACACUGCCGGGGACCUGUUCCAACUAGGACUCCAGAUGUCUGUAUCCAGGACUUCCCAGCACUGCUUGAUCUGGGUGUAGGUAUUCUCCCCAGUUUGUUGAAAAAAAAAACAAACAAAAAAACCCGUAUUUUCCUUUUACUUUUCCCUUUUCUCCUACUUUAGCUUUUGCUAAGUUAACUAUUAUACUCUUUUGUUAUGUUGAUCAUUAAACUUUGAACUGCAUUUGAGUGUAAUAUUGCAGUUUCUUUUGCUCGUGAAUCCUCAAACCCAAAAUGAUGAAAGUAAAACUUUCAGCAAAACAGUCACAUAGGCAACCAAGUAGGGCAAGGUGACCACAGUCUGACUACUAUUUAACUGCUCACUUCCCAGGGGAGGGGCAUUGGCCACUUUGCUCAUUACCCAAAAAGUCCUGAGCCCCUUGAUCCUAGGUUCCUCAGCUGUGAUUCAACUGCCUGUAUGCGUAGCGUCCAUCUGAGCCUGUUGCAUUGUCCCGUGGCACUUGGGGGCAGGGGAACUGGAAAAACCAUACUGAUGC